rnacentral:misc_RNA from 1 species
CAAUAUCCUUCUUUUCUUUUUUUUUUUUGCAGUGGAUAGAAAUUUCUGUAAUAGCGCUUUUAAGAUUCUUUCUACACACAUAUAUCUAUAAUUAUACUGUAAUUACAAGAUUAGCCAGUAGUCAGUAUCCUGGCUUAAACUGCCCUAUAUAAAUUUUCUUUCUUGUGUUCUGCAUUUGAUAAGACAUUUAAUUUGUUGCAAAGAUGUAAUAAAUUGACAAUAUUCUAUACUUUUACUCCUUUCUUUGCCUGGCGAGUGAUUGCUUCAAAG